UGGGGCGGGAAAUGCGCUGGGGAGGCGAGGCUGUGCCGGGAUGCUGGGCCCAGCCUCUCCUGGGCCCCUAGAGCCAGCCCGGGAAAGAGGAGUUUAAGACCAAGCAUGUUCUGAGAACACCACACAGCAAGUACUGGGCUACAUGUUGUACAGACAUUCUCAUCAUGUCACUGGAACUUCUCAGCUAACCUGAUCAGAGAAACUGUGAAGCAGAGGACUCAAUGAAAUGGUGCCUGAACUCCUAACCGUAGUCAGAAUCCACUACUCUACCACUAAUGUCUCUUCCAUCCGGCUCUGCAGCACCUGAGCAAAAGACCUCUGCAGCUGAGUCCAAAGAGCAUUCCCAUGUGAACCGAGCAACCAAGUAUCAUCGGGGUGGCUGAGCCUGGGAUUUCCAACUUGGGAGACUACACAGUGGACUCUAUAAUGAUUAGUGGCAGCAUCCAAUGUCUCUUCCAAGUCUAAAAUUUGUGAGUUUCAAAGUUGACUCUCCCCAAACCUGGCCUUUGCUGCCUCAGAUUCUGUCACUCUAGCAAGGCAGAGAGAGCAAAAGGGGCAAGACAAACCUCAUCAACAGCACAGAAAUCCCAGAAUCACACACUCUCUGGUCCAGCCAAGCCAAGUGUUUUUUUUUUUGUUGUUGUUGUUGUUUUUUAAAUCACCCUCCAUUACUCAACAUUCUCGUUCCCAGAUGAAUUUUAAACUGGAGUUGCACCAACUGUGAGACAGCC
rnacentral:lncRNA from 1 species